rnacentral:piRNA from 1 species
UCUCAUAGGGCUGCCACGAAUAGGCGAU